rnacentral:rRNA from 1 species
GACGUAGGGCGCGAGCGUUGUCCGGAUUUAUUGGGCGUAAAGAGCUCGUAGGCGGCUUGUCGCGUCGACUGUGAAAACCCGCGGCUCAACUGCAGGCUUGCGGUCGAUACGGGCAGGCUAGAGUUCGGUAGGGGAGACUGGAAUUCCUGGUGUAGCGGUGAAAUGCGCAGAUAUCAGGAGGAACACCGGUGGCGAAGGCGGGUCUCUGGGCCGAUACUGACGCUGAGGAGCGAAAGCGUGGGGAGCGAACAGG